rnacentral:tRNA from 1 species
GUAGACAUAGCUUAGCAGUAGAGUGCAUGCUUUAGCAUGCAGGAUGUCCUGGGUUCAAUCUCCAGUACCUAUG